rnacentral:snRNA from 1 species
GAAUGGGUCAAGUUUUGUAAAAUCUGUCACCUCACUGAUUGCCAAGGUCAUUUCACUGAUCUGGCUGGCUAGACGGCUAUCCCCAUUUCCCUCGAAACUCUAUAUGCAACCUUCUCCAAUAUGUGGUCUGACACAAAAAGUUAUACUUUGCCCAAAGAAAAAGCCCUUUCUUGGGUCAAGGGUAUCAUGAGUAGCUGCACUCCCGUGCUACUAGAGCCUCUAAACAUGCCCUCAAGGUCCACUUGAGAACAAAGGGUGGUCAAGCAUCCUGUCCUCCAAACACAUCCAAAGGAGACCCUGUGUGAGGAUACUCUAGCCUU